AGGCUACAGCGUUUCCCCUAUUUUUCCCCAGUUCUAUUUCUCCCUUCUUCCUCAUCCUAAAUCCUUAAAUCCCUAACUAAUUUUCCCCGAUUUGAAAUCCCGAAGAUUCACCCCUUCCACCCGCCUUCCAGUCAAUUCCCUGUAAUCCCAUCUAUCAUUUCCCUAUUUUUCCCCAAUUUUAUCACCCAUUCCCGAAUUCAACAUCCCAAAUCCCUAACGAUUUUUCCCCGAUUUGAAAUCCAUAAGAUUCGCCCCUCCCACCAACCUUCCAGUCAAUACCCCAUAAUCCCAUCUAUAGAAAAUCGAAUUAAGAAAGGGCAAGGGUUUCAGAAGUUGGGUUUCGGGUUGAAGAAAAUAGUUGAAGUUAAGUAUUUACCGAUAUUUUGUAUUAGUAUUAGUUUUUGUUGUUGAUUUAGCUAUUUUUUGGUUGCCUUUGUUAAUUUGUUUUUGUCUUUUUACAGAGAAAAGUCUCGCAGAGGCUGCAAGAGUUAGGGUAAAAAACCAAAAAAAAUUCCAUUACUUUUGGAUGAUAGUAAGCUUCGAUUUAUUGUGUGGUUUUAUUGGGUUCUAUUAAUUUGCAUUUGCGUAUAAUUGUUUGAUUGGGUUCUAUUAAUUUAUGGUUUGAUAGGCAUUUUACAGAGAAAAGUUUUGCAGAGCAAGAGUUAGGGUAAAAUACCCAGACAGAACUCCAUUACUGUUGGACGACGGUAAGCUUCAAUUUUUUGUUGUUUGUAGUUCGAGACAUGAAAUUAACCUUUGGUAAUAAUUGGUGGAAUUAAUCUUGGGAAUUAACCAUUCUAUUUAAAUAGAUAUAAUUUUAACAUAUUCGUAUGCAUGUUGAUAAAUUAUGUUCG
rnacentral:lncRNA from 1 species